UACGAAGGGAGCUAGCGUUGUUCGGAAUCACUGGGCGUAAAGCGCACGUAGGCGGACGUGUCAGUCAGGGGUGAAAUCCCGCAGCUCAACUUCGGAACUGCCUUUGAUACAGCACGUCUUGAGUCCGGAAGAGGUGGGUGGAAUUCCUAGUGUAGAGGUGAAAUUCGUAGAUAUUAGGAAGAACACCGGUGGCGAAGGCGGCCCACUGGUCCGGUACUGACGCUGAGGUGCGAAAGCGUGGGGAGCAAACAGG
rnacentral:rRNA from 1 species